rnacentral:miRNA from 1 species
UCAGCGCUUCACUCAAUCAUG